AGAGUUUGAUCCUGGCUCAGAGUGAACGCUGGCGGCGUGCCUAAUACAUGCAAGUCGAACGAUGAAGCUUCUAGCUUGCUAGAAGUGGAUUAGUGGCGCACGGGUGAGUAACGCAUAGGUCAUGUGCCUCUUAGUUUGGGAUAGCCAUUGGAAACGAUGAUUAAUACCAGAUACUCCCUACGGGGGAAAGAUUUAUCGCUAAGAGAUCAGCCUAUGUCCUAUCAGCUUGUUGGUAAGGUAAUGGCUUACCAAGGCUAUGACGGGUAUCCGGCCUGAGAGGGUGAACGGACACACUGGAACUGAGACACGGUCCAGACUCCUACGGGAGGCAGCAGUAGGGAAUAUUGCUCAAUGGGGGAAACCCUGAAGCAGCAACGCCGCGUGGAGGAUGAAGGUUUUAGGAUUGUAAACUCCUUUUGUUAGAGAAGAUAAUGACGGUAUCUAACGAAUAAGCACCGGCUAACUCCGUGCCAGCAGCCGCGGUAAUACGGAGGGUGCAAGCGUUACUCGGAAUCACUGGGCGUAAAGAGCGCGUAGGCGGGAUAGUCAGUCAGGUGUGAAAUCCUAUGGCUUAACCAUAGAACUGCAUUUGAAACUACUAUUCUAGAGUGUGGGAGAGGUAGGUGGAAUUCUUGGUGUAGGGGUAAAAUCCGUAGAGAUCAAGAGGAAUACUCAUUGCGAAGGCGACCUGCUGGAACAUUACUGACGCUGAUUGCGCGAAAGCGUGGGGAGCAAACAGGAUUAGAUACCCUGGUAGUCCACGCCCUAAACGAUGGAUGCUAGUUGUUGGAGGGCUUAGUCUUUCCAGUAAUGCAGCUAACGCAUUAAGCAUCCCGCCUGGGGAGUACGGUCGCAAGAUUAAAACUCAAAGGAAUAGACGGGGACCCGCACAAGCGGUGGAGCAUGUGGUUUAAUUCGAAGAUACACGAAGAACCUUACCUAGGCUUGACAUUGAGAGAAUCCGCUAGAAAUAGUGGAGUGUCUAGCUUGCUAGACCUUGAAAACAGGUGCUGCACGGCUGUCGUCAGCUCGUGUCGUGAGAUGUUGGGUUAAGUCCCGCAACGAGCGCAACCCCCUUUCUUAGUUGCUAACAGGUCAUGCUGAGAACUCUAAGGAUACUGCCUCCGUAAGGAGGAGGAAGGUGGGGACGACGUCAAGUCAUCAUGGCCCUUACGCCUAGGGCUACACACGUGCUACAAUGGGGUGCACAAAGAGAAGCAAUACUGCGAAGUGGAGCCAAUCUUCAAAACGCCUCUCAGUUCGGAUUGUAGGCUGCAACUCGCCUGCAUGAAGCUGGAAUCGCUAGUAAUCGCAAAUCAGCCAUGUUGCGGUGAAUACGUUCCCGGGUCUUGUACUCACCGCCCGUCACACCAUGGGAGUUGUGUUUGCCUUAAGUCAGGAUGCUAAAUUGGCUACUGCCCACGGCACACACAGCGACUGGGGUGAAGUCGUAACAAGGUAACCGUAGGUGAACCUGCGGUUGGAUCACCU
rnacentral:rRNA from 1 species